GACGAACGCUGGCGGCGUGCCUAAUACAUGCAAGUCGAACGCACUCUCGUUUAGAUUGAAGGAGCUUGCUCCUGAUUGAUAAACAUUUGAGUGAGUGGCGGACGGGUGAGUAACACGUGGGUAACCUGCCCUAAAGUGGGGGAUAACAUUUGGAAACAGAUGCUAAUACCGCAUAAAACCUAACACCGCAUGGUGUAGGGUUGAAAGAUGGUUUCGGCUAUCACUUUAGGAUGGACCCGCGGUGCAUUAGUUAGUUGGUGAGGUAAAGGCUCACCAAGACCGUGAUGCAUAGCCGACCUGAGAGGGUAAUCGGCCACACUGGGACUGAGACACGGCCCAGACUCCUACGGGAGGCAGCAGUAGGGAAUCUUCCACAAUGGACGAAAGUCUGAUGGAGCAACGCCGCGUGAGUGAAGAAGGUCUUCGGAUCGUAAAACUCUGUUGUUGGAGAAGAAUGUAUCUGAUAGUAACUGAUCAGGUAGUGACGGUAUCCAACCAGAAAGCCACGG
rnacentral:rRNA from 1 species